rnacentral:lncRNA from 1 species
CCCUGAAACUGACAGAGGAGGGGAACUGGAAUCUUGGAGCUGGAAAGUCACCUGAUGCCUGAACAUGCCUCAGGCACAGCAGUGAGGCAUGGGUGGAGAUGCCACUAAGUUAAGACUCUCUCUCUCAGUAAUUCAGACUGACUCAUCAUUCCUUAAGUCAUCAGAGAACUGGAAAAUUCGGCAGUGGAAGAGGAGCAUUUACAGAAACAAGGGACUACUGCACUUCUUGUCUACCUGUAAUAGAAGAUUUAGUUUCUCCUGUUACAUAUAUGCGUUAGGGCUGCAGGCAAAUGACUGGGCCCUGUCCUGAGGUUAAGCUAACAGAAGAGGUUGUGAAAAACCUGCUGGACACAACAUGAGAAAUUGCUGGACAUGACAGAUAGCAAUGUAAGAAACUAACAAAAGUUACAGAUUUGCUUUAACUGUGAGGGAUUUUUACAAGGUGGUAAAGGCAUAA